GACGCGCGGGCGCGCUCUAACUGGGACCGGAAGGGCUGGGCAGGGAACCGGGCGGCCAGUUUUUCUCCGGCUAGGCGAGGCCCUGUGACGUGACGUCUUGGUCUUCAGACGGGGUACGCCUUCACCGGAGGCUCCAGGCAGUUGCUGAUCUCCUAUAAUACUUGAGUUGUCAAAGUAUGGACUAAAAUAUCUGCCAGGUUCAUCUGGGUUUGUGCCAAAGGAUAAAAAAGAGAGCUCUGGAGGAAGCCAGCAGCCAAGUUCUAAGGACACUCAAGCAGCACCAAGGGGAGGUCCACAUGGCAAGAAAUUAAAGCCUCCUGAGCAGCUAUAAUUUCUACUCACUGGUCCUGUUUCCCCUCUGAAGUCACCCUGAUGCAUAAGGAUUCCAAGAUAAAGAAUAUUUGUAGCCACCUAGAAGACUCCUAUGUGCCUCCAUUCAGUGAACACUCACCCGUCAAUGACAGCCACUAUUCUAGUGAGUUUGCCUGUUUUUGAACUUCAGAGACACUCAGAGUGCGAGUCGGGAGGGACAGAGAAGGAGAGGAAGACACAGAAUUUGAA